rnacentral:rRNA from 1 species
ACGGGAGGCAGCAGUGGGGGAUAUUGCACAAUGGGCGAAAGCCUGAUGCAGCGAUGCCGCGUGAGGGAAGAAGGUUUUCGGAUUGUAAACCUCUGUCAACAGGGACGAAAAUGACGGUACCUGAGAAGGAAGCUCCGGCUAACUACGUGCCAGCAGCCGCGGUAAUACGUAGGGAGCAAGCGUUAUCCGGAAUUACUGGGUGUAAAGGGAGUGUAGGCGGGACUGUAAGUCAGAUGUGAAAUAUACCGGCUCAACUGGUAGACUGCAUUUGAAACUGCGGUUCUUGAGUGAAGUAGAGGUAAGCGGAAUUCCUAGUGUAGCGGUGAAAUGCGUAGAUAUUAGGAGGAACAUCAGUGGCGAAGGCGGCUUACUGGGCUUUAACUGACGCUGAGGCUCGAAAGCGGGGGGAGCGAACAGGAUUAGAUACCCUGGUA